rnacentral:rRNA from 1 species
AUUGAACGCUGGCGGCAGGCCUAACACAUGCAAGUCGAGCGAGCGGCGGAGGGGUGUGUAAUGUAUGGGGACUGUGCGAUAGAGGGGGAUAACUAUUGGAAACGGUAUCUAAUACAGCACAUUCUCGGAUUAUCCACAUGGGAUUAGCUAGUGGGUGGGGUAAUGGCUCACCUAGGCGACGAUCCCUAGCUGGUCUGAGAGGAUGAUCAGCCACACUGGAACUGAGAAACGGCCCAGACUCCUACGGAGGCAGCAGUGGGGAAUAUUGCACAAUGGGCGCAAGCCUGAUGCAGCCAUGCCGCGUGUAUGAAGAAGGCCCUCGGGUUGUAAAGUACUUUCAGUCGGGAGGCGUUACCCACAGAAGAAGCACCGGCUAACUCCGUGCCAGCAGCCGCGGUAAUAC